rnacentral:rRNA from 1 species
CCCAGUCGUGGGGGAUAACGCAGCGAAAGCUGUGCUAAUACCGCAUACGAUCUCUGGAUGAAAGCGGGGGACUCUGCAAGGAGCCUCGCGCGAUUGGAGCGGCCGAUAUCAGAUUAGCUAGUUGGUGGGGUAAAAGCCCACCAAGGCGACGAUCUGUAGCUGGUCUGAGAGGACGACCAGCCACACUGGAACUGAGACACGGUCCAG